UCUUCCUUUUUAGCAGUCACAAGAAAAAUUCUCCAAAGUCUGCAGAUAUGGACAGAAUCACCAUAAUGAAUUCCAAUUUUAUUUCAUGUUAACAUUGGCUUACACCAGUUGGGUUAGGUGGAACGCAGCCUUUCUCCUUGUAUAAAUAUUAUAUGCAGCUGGGAAGAAAGAAAAAUUGGGCAUUUGGCUACAAGUCUGGAGCUUUGACUUUGAAAGUGCAAAGGGGUUUCACACUUCCAAGCAGCUAACUCUUAUCAUUUUUGCGUGCAGUGGUCCUCUGAUUCCCCACCUUCACCUUCAAAUCUUGUUCUCCCAAUUAGCCCUGCAAGAUAAGUUGAUUUCCCUUCAUUAAUUUCUCCAAAAACCAGCCUUUUAUUUUGUCGUUUCUUGAAAUUUCUUGUUACUUAUUUACAUGUCAUGUUUAUUUGGAAUUUAAUUGAUGACCCUUUAAUUUAAACGAGAAAUUCUUGUCAAGAAGUUUGAUUUAUUGAAGUGUUCAGGUAUUUUUAAAGUUAUCAUAAAUUUUAACAGUUGGUUGUGAUUCAUUUUAGGUCAUGUUUUAAGUUUGUUUGUCCAUGGAUUUUCUCGUUUGUGAGAAAGUUCCAAUCCUUCGGAUUUUUAACGGACUAAUCAAAGUUUAUCAAGCUUCUUUAAAUUUCUUUCCUGAUGCGACAGUAUGUAAAGUAUUUUCCAAAUUACAAUUCCUUUUGAUACCAAAUUUUAACAGACUAAUCAAAGUUCAUCAAAGAGUGUAUGUAUGUAUGUAUGUGUGUGUGUGUGUGUGUGUGUGUGUGUGUAUUUUAAACCGUAAAAGAAAGAAUUUUGAUUUGAGAUUGAGGUCUAGAAAAGAAGAUUUGGUAUGUGUCAUUUCUGGGAUUUUGGACCACUCACGCAAAGAUGAUACGAAUUAAUGGUUGGUGUUAUGUUGUGUGCACCUUGCACUGUGGGAGUAAUCUUUUCCAGGCAGAGUGACAGGAUUCAUGUUCUUGUUACAGAAGGUAAGCUUCAGAUUCAAUAUUUGGAAGGUAUGAUGUGAGCUCCAUCUUUAUGUGACUGCAAAGUUUCAAUUGGAUUUGGUGAUUGUGCAGAUUUAUCAGUUUAGACUAACUUCUUUGUUUUCUUUGUCCUUUUCUUUAUUGUAGUUGGAAUUUCCAGAUUCAUAGGGUUGUUUGCUGGUAGGAAAAUGAUGUUUUAAUUGUUGAAUUGAACUUCUAAAGCAGAUAAGAGCAGGGCCUUGAUCCUUGAUAACUGGUGGUUUCUGUUGCUACUAUCAAGGACUUGUAACAGACUAGUGGUUUCUUUAUGUAAUGCGGUCAAUUAUUAAAUUGGUAUGAUGAUAUUGCAAGGAAAGUUGCUAUACCAGAAGAGGCUUAUGCAAGUCUUUCUGAACAUUCUGAUAAGUUAGGGAAGGAUUAUGGUUCAAUUCUAUAUUUGCAACUUGUUUUAAAGAAUUGUGGAGAGUGUUUCUUCCAAGAAUGACAUAGUUCUUGAAAAGACUCUGAAUAUCCAGUAUUCAUGGGGAAAAAGAUGAUUUGGUCAUAUGCUGGUCAUGAUUCAGUAAGCCAAAUAGCAGCAGUUAAAGACGCUUGAACUUGCAGAUCUCUUUGCAUUGAAUAUGUUGUUAUGCCUCUCUGAGUUGGUUACCUAUUGUUCAAACAAUUUGUUCCUCUGCAAUUACAGAUUUAUUGACAUUGGUAGUGUGGAUUGGCAGACAAAUAUCAAGACCAUAAUGAGUCUUAAUCU